UUUUGAACUCCGAAGAAGAAAAGGCGGACAAUGGCAGAAGGGAAGGGAAUGGCGAGGCAUGUGUUCCUUGCCAAGUUCAAAGACUGAACCCCACCUGCCCUGAUCAACCAAAUCAUCAAGAACUACCCCAAUCGCGUCAACCACAUCGAACCCUUGAAAUCUUGGCACAUGGGAACGAACUUGGUCAUCAAGAAUUUGGACGAAGGCUUCACGCACGUCUUCGACUUAACGUUGACAGCGCCGAGGGAUUAGCAGAGUUCAUGGAUGAUCCUGUUCAUGCUGAAUUCUCGAACCAGUACCGUCCCUAUCUGGAUAAAUUCAUCGUGAUCGACUACGAGCCGACUCCUUUCCGUGCCUGAAUUGACAUCGCAUCGCAAGCUCCGCCGGUGUCGUGUUCAAACAAUAAGUCUGUUAUGUAUGACAGAACUGAAGUUCGAGUCUGCCGUUAACUUGGGUAAGGAUAUGGUUCAGACUCGAGAGACUUGUCUUUGCAAAUUACAAGUCAGGAAUAGUGCAGCAUCUAAAUACAGAUUCAUGAAGGCAGCCCUGGUCUGUCCAUUCAUUGGGGUUUUGUGUCUCUUGAUUUUUCUUUAGGUUGACAUGGAGUUCUUAGUAAUGUUCAUGCCUUCGGUCAGAUCACUCGUAAAUCUUACCACAUCUGUGUAAAUAGACAUUACCAUCCCCGAAAAAAGGCAUAACAUUCGAGAGAAGAAUAGGACAUCUAUUGUAACAACUUGUUGUAAUGGUAAAGCCUUUUUCAUUAGGCGUCAA